CCUACGGGGGGCAGCAGUGAGGAAUAUUGGUCAAUGGACGAGAGUCUGAACCAGCCAAGUAGCGUGAAGGAUGACUGCCCUAUGGGUUGUAAACUUCUUUUAUAUGGGAAUAAAAUGUUCCACGUGUGGGAUUUUGUAUGUACCAUAUGAAUAAGGAUCGGCUAACUCCGUGCCAGCAGCCGCGGUAAUACGGAGGAUCCGAGCGUUAUCCGGAUUUAUUGGGUUUAAGGGGAGCGUAGGUGGAUUGUUAAGUCAGUUGUGAAAGUUUGCGGCUCAACCGUAAAAUUGCAGUUGAAACUGGCAGUCUUGAGUACAGUAGAGGUGGGCGGAAUGCGUGGUGUAGCGGUGAAAUGCUUAGAUAUCACGAAGAACUCCGAUUGCGAAGGCAGUUCACUGGACUGCAACUGACACUGAGGCUCGAAAGUGUGGGUAUCAAACAGGAUUAGAUACCCGAGUAGUC
rnacentral:rRNA from 1 species